rnacentral:rRNA from 1 species
UAAUACGUAGGGAGCAAGCGUUGUUCGGAUUUACUGGGCGUAAAGGGCGCGUAGGCGGCGCGGUAAGUCACUUGUGAAAUCUCUGAGCUUAACUCAGAACGGCCAAGUGAUACUGCAGUGCUAGAGUGCAGAAGGGGCAAUCGGAAUUCUUGGUGUAGCGGUGAAAUGCGUAGAUAUCAAGAGGAACACCUGAGGUGAAGACGGGUUGCUGGGCUGACACUGACGCUGAGGCGCGAAAGCCAGGGGAGCAAACGGGAUUAGAUACCCCGGUAGUCCUGGUCCUAAACGAUGAAUACUUGGUGUCUGGAGUCAUUAUUGCUCCGGGUGCCGUCGCUAACGUUUUAAGUAUU